ACGGCUCAGUAACACGUCGGUAACCUACCCUCGGGAGGGGGAUAACCCCGGGAAACUGGGGCUAAUCCCCCAUAGGCCUGAGGUACUGGAAGGUCCUCAGGCCGAAAGGGGCUUUUGCCCGCCCGAGGAUGGGCCGGCGGCCGAUUAGGUAGUUGGUGGGGUAACGGCCCACCAAGCCGAAGAUCGGUACGGGCUGUGAGAGCAGGAGCCCGGAGAUGGACACUGAGACACGGGUCCAGGCCCUACGGGGCGCAGCAGGCGCGAAACCUCCGCAAUGCGGGAAACCGCGACGGGGGGACCCCGAGUGCCGUGGCAUCGCCACGGCUUUUCCGGAGUGUAAACAGCUCCGGGAAUAAGGGCUGGGCAAGUCCGGUGGCAGCCGCCGCGGUAAGACCGGCGGCCCGAGUGGCGGCCGUGUUUAUUGGGCCUAAAGGGUCCGUAGCCGGCCCCGUAAGUCUCCCGGGAAAUCGGGCGGCUCAACCGUCCGCUUCCGGGAGAUACUGCGGGGCUAGGGACCGGGAGAGGCCGGGGGUACUCCCGGGGUAGGGGUAAAAUCCUGUAAUCCCGGGGGGACCACCUGUGGCGAAGGCGCCCGGCUGGAACGGGUCCGACGGUGAGGGACGAAGGCCGGGGGAGCAAACCGGAUUAGAUACCCGGGUAGUCCCGGCUGUAAACGCUGCGGGCUA
rnacentral:rRNA from 1 species